rnacentral:tRNA from 1 species
CGGCAUAGCUCAGUUGGUAGAGCGCAUCAUUCGUAAUGAUGAAGUCGGGGGUUCGAAUCCCUCUGCCGGC